rnacentral:rRNA from 1 species
AGAAUCAACGCUGGCGGCGUGCCUAACACAUGCAAGUCGCACGAGAAAGGGGAGCAAUCCCUGAGUAAAGUGGCGCACGGGUGAGUAACACGUGAAUGAUCUACCUCCGAGUGGGGAAUAACUGAGAGAAAUCUUAGCUAAUACCGCAUAAUACCCACGGGUCAAAGCAGCAAUGCGCUUGGAGAGGAGUUCGCGGCCGAUUAGCUAGUUGGCGGGGUAAUGGCCCACCAAGGCGAUGAUCGGUAUCCGGCCUGAGAGGGCGCACGGACACACUGGAACUGAAACACGGUCCAGACUCCUACGGGAGGCAGCAGUGGGGAAUUUUGCGCAAUGGGGGAAACCCUGACGCAGCAACGCCGCGUGGAGGAUGAAGCCCCUUGGGGUGUAAACUCCUUUCGAUCGGGAAGAUAAUGACGGUACCGAUAUAAGAACGCCCGGCUAACUUCGCGCCAGCAGCCGC